rnacentral:rRNA from 1 species
UUAAGCGACUAAGCGUACACGGUGGAUGCCCUGGCAGUCAGAGGCGAUGAAGGGCGUGCUAAUCUGCGAUAAGCGCCGGUAAGGUGAUAUGAACCGUUAUAACCGGCGAUACCCGAAUGGGGAAACCCAGUGUGAUUCGUCACACUAUCAUUAACUGAAUCCAUAGGUUAAUGAGGCGAACCGGGGGAACUGAAACAUCUAAGUACCCCGAGGAAAAGAAAUCAACCGAGAUUCCCCCAGUAGCGGCGAGCGAACGGGGAGGAGCCCAGAGCCUGAAUCAGCAUGUGUGUUAGUGGAAGCGUCUGGAAAGGCGCGCGAUACAGGGUGACAGCCCCGUACACAAAAGCGCAUGUGCUGUGAGCUCGAUGAGUAGGGCGGGACACGUGGUAUCCUGUCUGAAUAUGGGGGGACCAUCCUCCAAGGCUAAAUACUCCUGACUGACCGAUAGUGAACCAGUACCGUGAGGGAAAGGCGAAAAGAACCCCGGCGAGGGGAGUGAAAAAGAACCUGAAACCGUGUACGUACAAGCAGUGGGAGCACNGUGUGACUGCGUACCUUUUGUAUAAUGGGUCAGCGACUUAUAUUCUGUAGCAAGGUUAACCGUAUAGGGGAGCCGGAGGGAAACCGAGUCUUAACCGGGCGUUAAGUUGCAGGGUAUAGACCCGAAACCCGGUGAUCUAGCCAUGGGCAGGUUGAAGGUUGGGUAACACUAACUGGAGGACCGAACCGACUAAUGUUGAAAAAUUAGCGGAUGACCUGUGGCUGGGGGUGAAAGGCCAAUCAAACCGGGAGAUAGCUGGUUCUCCCCGAAAGCUAUUUAGGUAGCGCCUCGUGAAUUCAUCUCCGGGGGUAGAGCACUGUUUCGGCUAGGGGGCCAUCCCGGCUUACCAACCCGAUGCAAACUGCGAAUACCGGAGAAUGUUAUCACGGGAGACACACGGCGGGUGCUAACGUCCGUCGUGAAGAGGGAAACAACCCAGACCGCCAGCUAAGGUCCCAAAGUCAUGGUUAAGUGGGAAACGAUGUGGGAAGGCCCAGACAGCCAGGAUGUUGGCUUAGAAGCAGCCAUCAUUUAAAGAAAGCGUAAUAGCUCACUGGUCGAGUCGGCCUGCGCGGAAGAUGUAACGGGGCUAAACCAUGCACCGAAGCUGCGGCAGCGAACGUAUCACCCAAGACAACUUUACGGAGUUGACGAUUGACGGAGCGAAGCGACGUCAAAGCGUUCAUUAAAGUCGAGUUGGCUUAGGGAUACGUUCGUUGGGUAGGGGAGCGUUCUGUAAGCCUGUGAAGGUGUGUCGUGAGGCAUGCUGGAGGUAUCAGAAGUGCGAAUGCUGACAUAAGUAACGAUAAAGCGGGUGAAAAGCCCGCUCGCCGGAAGACCAAGGGUUCCUGUCCAACGUUAAUCGGGGCAGGGUGAGUCGACCCCUAAGGCGAGGCCGAAAGGCGUAGUCGAUGGGAAACGGGUUAAUAUUCCCGUACUUGGUGUUACUGCGAAGGGGGGACGGAGAAGGCUAUGUUGGCCGGGCGACGGUUGUCCCGGUUUAAGCGUGUAGGUGUGUGUUCCAGGUAAAUCCGGUUCACUUUAACACUGAGGCGUGACGACGAGGCACUACGGUGCUGAAGCAACAAAUGCCCUGCUUCCAGGAAAAGCCUCUAAGCAUCAGGUAACACGAAAUCGUACCCCAAACCGACACAGGUGGUCAGGUAGAGAAUACCAAGGCGCUUGAGAGAACUCGGGUGAAGGAACUAGGCAAAAUGGUGCCGUAACUUCGGGAGAAGGCACGCUGACACGUAGGUGAAGUGAUUUACUCAUGGAGCUGAAGUCAGUCGAAGAUACCAGCUGGCUGCAACUGUUUAUUAAAAACACAGCACUGUGCAAACACGAAAGUGGACGUAUACGGUGUGACGCCUGCCCGGUGCCGGAAGGUUAAUUGAUGGGGUCAGCGCAAGCGAAGCUCCUGAUCGAAGCCCCGGUAAACGGCGGCCGUAACUAUAACGGUCCUAAGGUAGCGAAAUUCCUUGUCGGGUAAGUUCCGACCUGCACGAAUGGCGUAAUGAUGGCCAGGCUGUCUCCACCCGAGACUCAGUGAAAUUGAACUCGCUGUGAAGAUGCAGUGUACCCGCGGCAAGACGGAAAGACCCCGUGAACCUUUACUAUAGCUUGACACUGAACAUUGAGCCUUGAUGUGUAGGAUAGGUGGGAGGCUUUGAAGUGUGGACGCCAGUCUGCAUGGAGCCGACCUUGAAAUACCACCCUUUAAUGUUUGAUGUUCUAACGUGGACCCGUAAUCCGGGUUGCGGACAGUGUCUGGUGGGUAGUUUGACUGGGGCGGUCUCCUCCUAAAGAGUAACGGAGGAGCACGAAGGUUGGCUAAUCCUGGUCGGACAUCAGGAGGUUAGUGCAAUGGCAUAAGCCAGCUUGACUGCGAGCGUGACGGCGCGAGCAGGUGCGAAAGCAGGUCAUAGUGAUCCGGUGGUUCUGAAUGGAAGGGCCAUCGCUCAACGGAUAAAAGGUACUCCGGGGAUAACAGGCUGAUACCGCCCAAGAGUUCAUAUCGACGGCGGUGUUUGGCACCUCGAUGUCGGCUCAUCACAUCCUGGGGCUGAAGUAGGUCCCAAGGGUAUGGCUGUUCGCCAUUUAAAGUGGUACGCGAGCUGGGUUUAGAACGUCGUGAGACAGUUCGGUCCCUAUCUGCCGUGGGCGCUGGAGAACUGAGGGGGGCUGCUCCUAGUACGAGAGGACCGGAGUGGACGCAUCACUGGUGUUCGGGUUGUCAUGCCAAUGGCACUGCCCGGUAGCUAAAUGCGGAAGAGAUAAGUGCUGAAAGCAUCUAAGCACGAAACUUGCCCCGAGAUGAGUUCUCCCUGAGACUUAGAGUCUCCUGAAGGAACGUUGAAGACGACGACGUUGAUAGGCCGGGUGUGUAAGCGCAGCGAUGCGUUGAGCUAACCGGUACUAAUGAACCGUGAGGCUUAACCUU